UUCCCUAAUGUAUGAGGAAGGUUAUGGGAAAGGGGUUUUAAUUGCAAUAGAAAUAAAAUCAUGAGGGUUUAAUUACUGAAUCACUUCCUAAUGGUAUGUUCCAGGUUCGUUCCUAUAAUGAAAAUAAGAUUCCAGAUAAUGAAAAUAUAGAUUCUAGGUGGUCCUGUUUCCGGAAGAAUUCGACAUAGUUUUAUACAUAUUACCGAGAGAUAAAAAAUAGAAGUAACUCAUUUUGCUUCAAGCAGAUAGACUCCGGAACACAAAUUCGAAUGGUUAUACUGUUUUUCACCCUCAACAUUCUUUUUUUAUGGCGAUACAAUUA